rnacentral:rRNA from 1 species
AUGAAUAUCAAGAGUUGUGGAGCUGUUGUGAGCUUGAAGAAGUGGUCGGAGUCUGUGGGUGCCAAGGCUGUACUUAACAUUGCUUGGGUCAAUGUUAGCAACAUUCUUUUGGAUAAGAGACAUGAGAAGAACAUCGCUUAUGUGGGCUCUUUGGUUGGGGUGACUCUAGAAAUUGAUAAAUCCACUGUUAACAGACCUGUAUCUGUUAGAAUUAAGCUGGGAUGUAGAGAUGCUGAGGAUAUUCCUGCUAAGGCUGAGGGGGCAUUGGGUGGUCCAUUUUAUGACGUUUUUUUUUGCUCUGUGGAUAAGAUCUUAGUGAAAAAUCCCCCCAAAGAAAGAGUAGCUAUGCAACAAGAUGCCGAUGGGGGGGGGGGCUUCUCCUAA